rnacentral:tRNA from 1 species
AGUGAUAUAGCUCAUUGGUAACAGAUUAUGGCUGUAAUGCAUGAAGUCAUGGGUUCAAUUUCCAGUAUCACAG